CUGACCUGCACCAGGUUGCACCAAACCACGCUGAUCCAUGCCAGGCUGUGCCAAGCCAGGCUGACCUGCGCCAGGUUGCACCAAACCACGCUGGUCCAUGCCAGGCUGUGCCAAGCCAGGCUGAGCUGCGCC